AGAGUUUGAUCAUGGCUCAGGAUGAACGCUAGCGGGAGUAACACAUGCAAGUCGAGGGGCAGCACGGGUAGCAAUAUCUGGUGGCGACCGGCGCACGGGUGAGUAACACGUAUGCAACCUACCCUGUACAGGGGGAUAACCCGGAGAAAUUCGGACUAAUACCCCAUAAAGAUAUGAAGAGGCAUCUUUUUAUAUUUAAAGUUUCGGCGGUACGGGAUGGGCAUGCGGAACAUUAGCUAGUUGGCAGGGUAACGGCCUACCAAGGCUACGAUGUUUAGGGGACCUGAGAGGGUGAUCCCCCACACUGGUACUGAGACACGGACCAGACUCCUACGGGAGGCAGCAGUGAGGAAUAUUGGUCAAUGGGCGCAAGCCUGAACCAGCCAUCCCGCGUGCAGGAAGACGGCGCUAUGCGUUGUAAACUGCUUUUCCAGGGGGUGAAACUCCGGUACGCGUACCGGAUUGACGGUACCCUGGGAAUAAGCAUCGGCUAACUCCGUGCCAGCAGCCGCGGUAAUACGGAGGAUGCGAGCGUUAUCCGGAUUUAUUGGGUUUAAAGGGUGCGUAGGCGGAUUGAUAAGUCAGUGGUGAAAACCUGCAGCUUAACUGUAGACUUGCCUUUGAUACUGUCAGUCUUGAGCGUGGUCAAGGUAGGCGGAAUGUGUAGUAGCGGUGAAAUGCUUAGAUAUUACACAGAACACCGAUUGCGAAGGCAGCUUGCUGGACCAUUACUGACGCUGAUGCACGAAAGCGUGGGGAUCGAACAGGAUUAGAUACCCUAGUAGUCC
rnacentral:rRNA from 1 species